rnacentral:rRNA from 1 species
ACUCAGGUGUUGUUGGGUAGGGGAGCGUUCUGUAAGCCUGUGAAGGUGGCCUGUGAGGGUUGCUGGAGGUAUCAGAAGUGCGAAUGCUGACAUAAGUAACGAUAAAGCGGGUGAAAAGCCCGCUCGCCGGAAGACCAAGGGUUCCUGUCCAACGUUAAUCGGGGCAGGGUGAGUCGACCCCUAAGGCGAGGCCGAAAGGCGUAGUCGAUGGGAAACGGGUUAAUAUUCCCGUACUUGGUGUUACUGCGAAGGGGGGACGGAGAAGGCUAUGUUGGCCGGGCGACGGUUGUCCCGGUUUAAGCGUGUAGGCUGGUUUUCCAGGCAAAUCCGGAAAAUCAAGGCUGAGGCGUGACGACGAGGCACUACGGUGCUGAAGCAACAAAUGCCCUGCUUCCAGGAAAAGCCUCUAAGCAUCAGGUAACAUCAAAUCGUACCCCAAACCGACACAGGUGGUCAGGUAGAGAAUACCAAGGCGCUUGAGAGAACUCGGGUGAAGGAACUAGGCAAAAUGGUGCCGUAACUUCGGGAGAAGGCACGCUGACACGUAGGUGAAGUGAUUUACUCACGGAGCUGAAGUCAGUCGAAGAUACCAGCUGGCUGCAACUGUUUAUUAAAAACACAGCACUGUGCAAACACGAAAGUGGACGUAUACGGUGUGACGCCUGCCCGGUGCCGGAAGGUUAAUUGAUGGGGUCAGCGCAAGCGAAGCUCCUGAUCGAAGCCCCGGUAAACGGCGGCCGUAACUAUAACGGUCCUAAGGUAGCGAAAUUCCUUGUCGGGUAAGUUCCGACCUGCACGAAUGGCGUAAUGAUGGCCAGGCUGUCUCCACCCGAGACUCAGUGAAAUUGAACUCGCUGUGAAGAUGCAGUGUACCCGCGGCAAGACGGAAAGACCCCGUGAACCUUUACUAUAGCUUGACACUGAACAUUGAGCCUUGAUGUGUAGGAUAGGUGGGAGGCUUUGAAGUGUGGACGCCAGUCUGCAUGGAGCCGGCCUUGAAAUACCACCCUUUAAUGUUUGAUGUUCUAACGUGGACCCGUGAUCCGGGUUGCGGACAGUGUCUGGUGGGUAGUUUGACUGGGGCGGUCUCCUCCUAAAGAGUAACGGAGGAGCACGAAGGUUGGCUAAUCCUGGUCGGACAUCAGGAGGUUAGUGCAAUGGCAUAAGCCAGCUUGACUGCGAGCGUGACGGCGCGAGCAGGUGCGAAAGCAGGUCAUAGUGAUCCGGUGGUUCUGAAUGGAAGGGCCAUCGCUCAACGGAUAAAAGGUACUCCGGGGAUAACAGGCUGAUACCGCCCAAGAGUUCAUAUCGACGGCGGUGUUUGGCACCUCGAUGUCGGCUCAUCACAUCCUGGGGCUGAAGUAGGUCCCAAGGGUAUGGCUGUUCGCCAUUUAAAGUGGUACGCGAGCUGGGUUUAGAACGUCGUGAGACAGUUCGGUCCCUAUCUGCCGUGGGCGCUGGAGAACUGAGGGGGGCUGCUCCUAGUACGAGAGGACCGGAGUGGACGCAUCACUGGUGUUCGGGUUGUCAUGCCAAUGGCACUGCCCGGUAGCUAAAUGCGGAAGAGAUAAGUGCUGAAAGCAUCUAAGCACGAAACUUGCCCCGAGA